rnacentral:rRNA from 1 species
AAUGGGCGCAAGCCUGAUCCAGCCAUGCCGCGUGAGUGAUGAAGGCCCUAGGGUCGUAAAGCUCUUUCGCCUGUGAAGAUAAUGACGGUAGCAGGUAAAGAGACCCCGGCUAACUCCGUGCCAGCAGCCGCGGUAAUACGGAGGGGGUUAGCGUUGUUCGGAAUUACUGGGCGUAAAGCGCGCGUAGGCGGAUUAGUAAGUCAGAGGUGAAAUCCCAGGGCUCAACCCUGGAACUGCCUUUGAUACUGCUAGUCUUGAGUUCGAGAGAGGUAAGUGGAAUUCCGAGUGUAGAGGUGAAAUUCGUAGAUAUUCGGAGGAACACCAGUGGCGAAGGCGGCUUACUGGCUCGAUACUGACGCUGAGGUGCGAAAGUGUGGGGAGCGAACAGGAUU